rnacentral:piRNA from 1 species
UGAGAUGAGGCUGGAAAGUGUGUAGGUC